rnacentral:rRNA from 1 species
AACGAACGCUGGCGGCAUGCCUAACACAUGCAAGUCGAACGAGACCUUCGGGUCUAGUGGCGCACGGGUGCGUAACGCGUGGGAACCUGCCCUUAGGUUCGGAAUAACUCCCCGAAAGGGGUGCUAAUACCGGAUAAUGUCUUCGGACCAAAGAUUUAUCGCCUUUGGAUGGGCCCGCGUUGGAUUAGCUAGUUGGUAGGGUAAAAGCCUAGCAAGGCGACGAUCCAUAGCUGGUCUGAGAGGAUGAUCAGCCACACUGGGACUGAGACACGGCCCAGACUCCUACGGGAGGCAGCAGUGGGGAAUAUUGGACAAUGGGCGAAAGCCUGAUCCAGCAAUGCCGCGUGAGUGAUGAAGGCCUUAGGGUUGUAAAGCUCUUUUACCCGGGAUGAUAAUGACAGUACCGGGAGAAUAAGCUCCGGCUAACUACGUG